CCUCUUCUGUCCCCAUGAGAUUCCCAUUUGCUGGUGUGUUAAGAUAAAUAUAUUCAAAACUCAGAUCCUCCCCACUUUUUUCUUUUUAAAAGAAGACCUUCCAGAUGCUAUUUGUUUUGUAUCCUAUCCAUUGUUCAAACUGAGAAAUUUUAGUGUCUUUGACAAUGUAGAUAAAGGAAAAUCGGAAUAGAUUGUCUUCUCUGCAUAGCAGUUAGUAAAGCAGUUUAUGAGGCUUAACCUGCUUUGUUUUUCCCUAUUUCUUCAUUCAUAUAUCAAACACAGAGGUAAAGAAACCAAAGUAUCAGAUGGAAUUUAUCUACGCUUUCACUCCGGAAAAGAACUUUUCUGUUAAGUCUGAGUCAUGUUGUCCCCAUGCUGUUUUAGGAACCUCACCCUCUGUUGCUGCUUUGUCGACGGUUCAGGUGCGUUUCAGGUGAACACAGAUUUGAUGCAAAGGGCUGUCCUGCCCUCCUCGUGUCAAUGCAGAGGUUUCCACUGACUUCAGUAUGAUCAGAUUUGGACUGCAAAAAUCCAGGCCAACUCUCAGCCUUUCUUUUGACUUCAAGAGGAAUUGCAAAAGGCCCUAAAUUGCUUCUUGCCUGUUACCGGUUGUUCAGCUGGAGGCCAUAUGAAGUGAAAGACCUCAGUCUCAUGGUGCCACUGAAAAGCCUGCAAAGCCAAGAUGAUGUGAAUACAUCAAGCUAAAUAUACAAGGAAACCAUGAAAAUUUUCCUGUGUUAACCCUUUUACGGAAAGUAUCAAUGGCAAUUGGCUUAUAGCAGCUAUUUUGUGCACCCGGCAAGUUUCUGCACCUCCCCAUGGAGGUUAUUGGGAACGUGGAAGUAGCCUAACAUGAGGGUUAAUAUCAGUAAUUUACCCCGUGGGAGUGCCAAGGAGUCCUCUGUGCAAGGUGCUGUACAAACAUGUAGCUACACACAGAAAACCUGCAGAGCAGCGACCUUCACGACGGUGGAUGUAUUUAAGAUUAUUCUUCUUCAUCCUUACAACUCCAGCUCAGCGCCAGAUCAACUCAGCUAUAUUCUUACUUUAGUUCUCCUGCAGGUUACCAGUUUUAACAGGCAGCUUUAAUUAUUUUUCUAAGUAAGCCAUAGAGGAAGAUCCGACAGUUGAGGUCUCUCUGCAGAAGGCCCCCAGCAAUCCCGGCGGAGUUUCAGAGCGGGAUCCACACUGCUAAAGCGUGGAGCCUCUCAGCAGCUGCCUGGUGGAGCCUGCUGCCUUAGGGAUUUCAUUUGCUUUUUACCACAACAUCGCUUCAUUUGUUUGUUUGCUUGUUUGUUUUUUCAAAGACAGUAUUAUUAAGUUGUUAAAUUACACCGUUUAAAAAGUAAUUUUAUAUUUUACCUUUUAAGCAGCUGUCAUUUGGGGAGACUCCUUUCAUAUUGAAGCCACUUGGGGCUAGCAUUACAUACAUGCUGUGAGAGAGGCCCUCAGACUUUAAGGACUUUCCAACAUAAGCAGACAAGCUAGACAAGGCCCUUUAUAACUCCCUGCUGGCAUACUUUUACCACAUAAGUGCAUCACUGAUACAUUGGUGUUAAUCCUAACCUGCAGUGUAGACAGAUCCCAGCAGCUCCAGCAUUAGGCAUGGGGAAAGUAGGCAGUUGCCUAACGCAGCAAAAUGCUGCAGGUGGCAAAAUACUGCUGUUGCUGGGCUGUCUUUGCUGCGCCAGCAUCUGGAAAAGCCCAGCUUUUGCAUGGAGCCUGCACCUUCGGGCUCUGCAGCCUCCCUAUGGCUAUCCACCAUUUCACCCACAGUCCCGGGCCUCUCGCUUGUGCUGCUUGUGUUGGCAGGGGUUGCUAAAAAUUGCUCUGGAGAUGUUAAAAGUUUCCAGGUUCUCAAAGGGACAUCAUCAAUAUUGUCCAGGUAAAGAGACUGAUAUCUAUCUAUAAUACAUGGUACUGUGAAACUGGACUAAAGUGCAAAAGCCACAGAACUGCAAAACUGCUGAAAACCUAUGAACAUGCAUUGUCUGAUUUUCUGUUGUGCAGUGCAGAUGAAAAUGGCAAGAUUUUUUCCCAACAAUUUGCAUAUCUGUAAAUGACUGCAAGGCUGCGUAGAAGGAGGCCAGCUGGAUUCAAUUAAAGAGAAAGGCUAUGCAGUUAAUCCCUGAUACAGAAAAAUAUUAAGAAUACCUAUAUUUAGCAGUGUACCCUCCCCUCUCCCGUGGGAUGAUCCGAACGGCUCCUUGCUGAACAGGAGCACCUGCGCACUGAUGCUGCACUAUCCUGGGGCUGGCUCAGAUGAGCUGAGGACAAGUAGUGCUUUUUCCUGGGCAAGGGACAAGAAGGACAGCUGAUGGAAACCUUAUAGAUACACAAUGACGUUUUUUCUUCAGCAGGUGUCAGAUAUAUAAAGAACAUACCAAAUGCCUCUGCUUGCCACAGCUUAUGGAAACCACAUAUCUGGCUUCUUGGGAGCAAUUUUAUUCUUUCUGAAGAGAUGCUGGUGAUCCAAAUUGUUGUUUUUCUGAAAAUGAAUUCUGUCUUGAACUUCCUGAUCUGAUGAGCUGAAGGUCACAAGCAUAUCUAUUUCAUUCUCCCUUCCCUCCGCUUGCGAAAAAUAAUUCCGUAACAAGGACCUGGAGGAUGAAGCUCUUCUAGCUUAAGACAGGGGUCCUCCAAAUGAAAAGUGCAAAGCAAUGGCUGCCAAUUUAAUUAGCUUUCACAGAUUCACACACAGAUGGAAGGAUUUUUGGAAGGAAAGAAUAUUUAAUACAAAUGAAUACUUUAUUUUUAAAAUAAAAGCACCAACUUUAUUUCCCACUGCUAAUGUUUCUGUCAGUCAGGUCAAGGAUAAUGAACCAAAAUUCUAGAAAGGUUCACUCAUACCUUAACUUUUAUUGUUGACAAUGUUCUCAUUCAUAAAACCUACAUUUGCAAAUGCAAAAUCAACAGUUAAAUGUUUGCUUUAUCUGUGUCUGUAAUUCUCCAAGGAGAGAGCUACGUUCUUUAUUUGGUUUUCACUUAUAACAUUCAGCUGAAGUUUUUUAAGGAAAAAGUCUUCUACACUUUUUACUGUUGUUACUAUUAUCUGUGGAUAAAUAUAUUCUUUGCUGUUAAUAGAGCAAGUAUUUUAAUUUCAUAACAAGAUCUUUUUCCAUAUGUGUCUCCAUUCAUGUUUUUGAUUUUUUUUGCCCAACUUUUAUAACACAGAAUUUUUACCUUCUAAUGAAAAGAAAAACCCUAUAAGGGAAGAUGGCCUCUGGAAUAAAAGAAAGUGGCCAAGGAAUGUGUUGUGGAAAGUAUUAGAUAUAUAUGAACAGUAUUGGAAAUAUAUUUUUAGCAGGACCUAGGUUACAUAUUUUAAGCAACUGCUUCAAGUAGACAAAGUAACUGCUAAAAGCAGGUGUUUAUUCCGAAAGCUGCAGCAAUGUUUUUCUGUCACAUUGCAUUAAAUCACUUAUGAUGCAUCAUGUUAUGUUAUACCACAUCAUGUUAGUACAUAUGGUGAAGAAGCCAGAGCAGAGUAACAUGAUGUGACAGACAACAUUUAGCAAAAAUAUUCACUUAUUUGACUCAGAUACUUGCUAUCAGGUUGAAUCAAGGAGUGUGGUCCUAAAUGAAGCUGACAGAUGGAAGUGAACUCAACCAGGAACUGUAUCCAAUGUAAAUCUGAAAGUUUCUUGUCAUAUCCCUGGUACUCAUCCUGCUGAUAGUUAUUACUAUCCUCAGUUCCUCUUUCUCAGCAUUUUCUUCCCUGCUGUAAGUAGUUUGACCAGUUGGUUGUCAUUUAUUUUGACAUAACUCAUGAUUUCCCCAUGAGGGGCUAAUCACAUCUCGGUAUCCUUUAAAAGCACUGUUAAAUGACAGUUAAUGACAGUUGAUGGAAUUGUCAUAAAUAGUUUUUAUAUGAGUGAAAUUAUUAUGAACUAUGCAAAAGAGUGCCCAGGCACUCUGUAGUUAUGUGUAUAGAAGGACUAUUUUAGGUAACAAGAAGUUUAUUCUUGAAGGCACCUAUAUUUUACAGUGUAGCAAAGUCUUUUUGACGCACUUAAGAAAUAUUGAGACCUUUUUACUGCUGUUGGGGGAACUAUUUCAUGGUAAUACUUCUAAAACAGUUUAGCAGUGGAGUGCAUGUUCAUGGAGAUGAGUAAGUAAAUCGAGUGGUCAAGUAUAACACAGGCAGCUGUGGUGCAGGCCUAGCCAUACACGGCUUUUGUAUGUGUCAGUCCUGAGCAAGGUGAUGGCCGUUCACCCAAAUAGUACAUACAGUACUAUUACAGAUUUUGGUACAAUCUGUCCCAACAGAUAUUAGGACGAGAAAACAGCAUGCCAAUGACCAAAGAGGACUUCAGUGAUGCUCCUGAAGUAGAUGGUUAACUUGCUAGUUAAGGGAGCAGUCUAACCCACUGCAUUAGAAAGGGAAACCUUCAAGUCAGAAGUGCAGACAAUAGAAAUGAGUUGCUUCAUUUCAGUUAAGAGAGAAGGUUGUUGAUCUCAGUCUACCACCACCAUGCCAAGGAGGUUUGCACAGCCAAGUGCCCGAAACAAGCUGUAUCUGCUGUUAGCUCUUUCUCUGCAGCCCAGUGCUCCGAAUCAAACUGCAUUUAUUUUUACUAGAUUGAAAUUGGGAAGUUUUGUGGCAAACUGUCAGUCUGUAGAGGAGCUAAAGAAACAAGCUCAAUGGCAUAAGGCCUGGGUAUUGAUGUGCAAAAAAUUUGUAUAUAGAUUUGAAGACUAUCCUUUUUCUCGUGACGAAGCCAAAGGGACAGGCCAAGCUGCCAAGUGAUUUUCUGCAUCCCACCAAUAUGGAUUAAGUACAUUAAAGUAACUCUAAAGAAAAGAACAAGAACAUACAAACAAUUUCCAGGAUCCUAAAAAGAAAGCUAUGAUUUUUAAAUCUAAGUUUGUAUUACAGUAGCAAUGCAUAGGAUCCAUGGUCCUUUGCUUUCUUACCCGUUACUGAGGGAAUUUUCAAGAUUCUUCUCAUUCAGCCAGGAACAUUUGCUGUUUGGUUUCCACUGGCAGCUUGCAACAUUUGUCCAGAUGCGUAUAAUAAAAAUAGUAAUAAAUACUAGCAAUAAUGCUAAUAAUUAAAAGAUGCACUGUAUAAACACCAUACGAACUGAAGCUUCUCUUUGGCUUCGUAAGAUGCUGCAUGUUUUCUGUUUAAUCUUCUCUUCUGUGCUUUAGCAAGGACCAUCAGUAACAGACCAAGAGCAGCCUGCUCCUUCCAGCAGCAGCGUCCUCACUUCCCCUUGGGGCAGGCUGGCCCUGAAGUACUCUUCAGCCUAGCACAGCAGUGUGAUAUGCUGGCACAGUGAGGUUCCCGGCAACGCGGACAGACAAGGGAGCACAACUGUCAGCCUCCUCCUUCCUGAGUUCCUUGCCUGCAAGAAUGUCUCUUCACAUGGAAAGCCAGCGGCCACUAAUUUGGGUCAGUUUUCAUAUUCUGGCAUUAAGGACCUGGAGCGGUCACUGCAGCGGAGCAGGGAGAGGUAACAACUGUCCCUUCCCUCCAAGAAAUGCAUAUACCUGUUACAUGCCUAAAAUGUGCAGAAUCCAUCUAUGGGUUCAGGAAGGUAUUAGCAUAUGGCCCAAAAGUAGCUGAGACAAAAUGGUAUAAUUGCAAAAGGAGAGGAAAAAAAGGAAUAAUUCUGACUAACAGUGGGUUUACUUUGAUCUGUGUCAUCUUAACCAGCAUCGUUAGAAUUUAUUGUAUUUGAGGAAUUCAUUCAGCCUGGCUCACAGGUAUUUUGGGGAAUAGGGCUGUUUUGCAUGACCCCCCCGAGAGUUCAGCAAAUGCCCUGCCCAGACGUGCUCUGUGAGAAGCCCCUAUUGCUGUCUCUUUGGGCUGACAUUGUUCACUGUUCUCAGGAAACCUCAGGAGCCUUUUUGCCUCGGGCAGCCUCAGGAAGAUGUGGUGAUGGGCUCAAUUUCGCAUCAGCGAUCUGCAAUCUCUGAUGAGUUCUCCAUGAAAUAAGAAAGUACUGGGGCCUAUUUGGGGGAAGCAGAGCAGGAAGCAUUUAUAGGGGAAGCUUCAGUACAGCUAGAGUCCAAAAAGUAAAAUGCAAUAUGGGUGCCGGAGGCUUUUCCCAGCAGCUGAGAGCUGAAAUGAAUGAACCCUCUCCCUAAUCCAAAGGGUAGCUAACUGGUAUCAUCAAAACAAAGCAAAAAAAGCCCCCAACCAAAGUCCACUCUCAGAAGCUCCUAUGCACUGAAAAGCCUGCACCAACUGUGGAAGCUGCCAGGUAUUUCUUUAAAUGCAAUCCUACAGCAUGGUGAAAUUACUGAAAAUAGAAAAGUGGGAAGGGUAGGUGGGAAAAUACAGUGGGUGGAGCCAUGCAGUUGUUUGGAAAAGGCAGAGAAGUUUGUACCAAGAAAUGAGCUGAUCCCAGCAGGUGAUAGGGACCUCAGUGUUCAGGAACCGGAAUGCAUCCCUGGCACAGCACUGUGGGGCAACAGUUCCCGAUGUGCCUUCAGACGAUGGCCAUCUUGCAUCAGUCUGGAGCCGAUCCUUUACAAGCCAUUUUGUGAAGUGUCAGAACACAUACAGAAACCCUGCCUUUUAUUCUCAGUUCACACUAGCCACUCCAUCUGCUUUUAAGAAAAUGCUUCUGCCUAACUGUGUGCACAAGUGCAUCGUACCUUGCUACUUGCUUUGAGAACUUGGCCCCUUGUGUGAAAGCAUUUUGUGAAGAGAAAUCCUUAGAGAAAGUGUGCUAUUGUCCUCUUACUUACCUGAUGAAAAAUAAUUAAAAAAUGAUUAAAUAAUUAAUACUGGAUGUUGCUUAGCAGUUGCUAAGAGGCUUAUUUAAUAUUUUUUGUAGCUUUUUUCCUAAUUUAGGAAUAAAACAGACAUAAUUGAGCAUGUUAUUCUGAAGCUGCAAAUGACUCUGUGGAGAGAAUCGAAGAAAACGUUUCUUUGAUUAGAAUAUUUUUCUCAUUAACAGGAUGUUCAAAAUAAAGCAAAAAUAUUUGAUGCACAGAGCCUGUGGCAAUAUCAAGUUAACACUGGCAUGCUCCCACAUUUUACCUCAUGUUUACUAAUCAAUCAAAAGACUUUUGCUGGCAAGAAAGAUCACAUCUUUAAUCACACAGCUGAAACUUCUUGACAUCAAACAAUAGGAAUUUCUACAUUCCAUUUAAUGUGGUUUUCAGCGCAGAGAGUUAAUGCCCAAGGUAGUGGGAUGGUGAGUAUGUGAUUAGGUAAACAAGUAGCGCUAUGUUCUCUAAAUGUUCAGUACUACAUACUAGAAGUGAGGAGAUCGCCUCAUUUGGUUCAAGAUACAUCUGCAUCUAAGUUCAAAUUAUUUAGAGAGGAUAAUCAAGAAAAUGUUUAGGUAGGCACCGGUGUGCAUUUUUGGUUCAGAUGCUUAUGUCAAGCUUAGAAAACACAUGCCCUGAUUGAGUCCAGGGUGCUGUAGAAAAAGGUAGCUGACAGGAUGCAAGCACCAGAUGCCCUUACUUCUCUCAGGCAGUGAAGAGAGUUAGAUAACGUUCCUGCUCCAUAUAUUCCUUCUCAAAUUCAUCUCAGGAUAGAAAAAGAAACCUGUAUGUCUCUAACAUAGCCUUGUAGUUCCUAGUCUUCCUCUCCAAAAAUUUUCUAAGAACUGUAACUUGAUACAGUGAAAUUCAUUGGUGGUUGAAAAAAAAAAUGCUGUGUUUUUCGUAAUAGAAGAAAUGGCCUAAGAGUUUCACAAGAAAAACAGCCCAAGUGUAAUUUCCCCUUUAUUCUAUCAUUGCUUUUUCUUGCCUUGCUACAGAAGAUGGAGAGAGGCAGCUGCCAUGUUGCAGAUUACAGGGCUAUUUCUCAGGCUGCACUAAGGGAGUAGGAAAUCUCCAUCUCUCUUCAGGGGGAUAUUUGCACCCAGCAGCGUGUGUGUGUAGGGGAUGUGUCAGAUGCUGACGAUAGAUGUGACCAGAGCAGGCUGGUCAGCAUUUAUCUUCGCCGACUAGCUGGCUGUUUCGUGAAAGUACCCAGCUGCUGCAAACUAGAGGCUUAGUCCCUUAAAACCAUGCCCUUGAAAGAGCUGGGGUGGAAUCAGAGGAGGAUCAGGAAAUAUCCCUGGGUUUGCUGGUUUUUCUUCCCCACUGUUUCUUGCAGGCAUGUCAGCCACCUCAGAGGACUCUCCUGGUCAGUGGCAAUAGCAGGACUUAGACUUACUCCCAGCCAGGAUUUUUACCCUCAGUCUCCCGGAGAAAUCAUUGGUAUGAAAAGAUGCACACAUUGCCUGCAGCUAUAGCACAUAUUGCAUGGCAUGACACACACAUAAGUGAGAUUAAUUCGAGUUCUGGGCAUCAUUAGCUCAAUUAAAACUGUGAUUUUUUAGUUCAGACCUACAGGCCAUUGCAGAGAAGAGUAAUCAUAAGACAAAAACGAGUUCCCUAGUUAAAAAUUAAUUCCCUAGACUAAAAAUAUAAUCAAAUGAUGUCUACAGUGUUUUAUGAAGAGCUAAGAGGAUAAUAAAACUUAAAGCACUGCAACAUUUGCAUUUUGUUCAUUUCUAUCCAUAUUUUUCCAUACACUGGCUUUCUGUGUGCUUGUUAAUCAUAUGCACUGCUACAGUCCUGGCAUUUUAAGAUCACUCUUCACAUCGAGAUUGAAAGGAAACUAAUUACAAUCACAUUUCAGGGUGGUUGUUUAAAGCUCGUACAGAGCUGACUACAGCAUAGGAGCCUUGACCUUUAUUUGUAAGCAAGAAAAUAAGGUAAAGAUGAAAGAUUGCUUUUCCUCCAGCUCAUAUCCCGGGAUCAAGAGGCCCUCCAGAGUGGAAAUGUGGGAAGCCCACAUGCAGCUCCUCUCGCUCGCCUUCUCUCUUGUGCUGGCAGCAGAGGCCAGUAGUGCUAUGCAGAAGCUGUGUGCUCCCGCAGCGAGAGGUGAAGGCAAGCACCGCACUAUUUUGCAGCUCUCCCUCAGGCUGCCAGAAGAACAAACAGUGAAUUAGCAGACCCAAGGAAUCUGUCAUUUUGACCUCUGUCCAACUGCUUUUAGUUAACGGUUUGCAUUGCAUACUGGUCAAUGGCAAAACCUUCCCUGGACUUUGGGCACAGCCUCAAAACCAAGAGCCUGAUGCUGCAAGCCGUCCUUGUGCCAUGAUCAAGGUAAUCCUCAUCCAUUCACACAUGGGCUGCUGCUGUGGGUGAGAGCUGCAAGCAUCACAGGAACCUAUCCUGCCUCUGAUACUUACGGUUUAAUAAUACUGACGGGAUCUGUGCAGAUGCAUCAGGGAAGUAUAAGGUCCCCCUAACCUGAGGAAAUGCAGGCAAUCCUAACACUAUGGCUGAUUUCAUUAAGUACAAACGUAUCUCGAGUGCACUGAAUGGCAAAUGUAUUCAGCAGGUUUAACCUGCUUCUGCGUCUCUGAAUUUUGAAAAUUAUGAUUUUAAUAAGUUUAUAACAUGCUCAAAAUAAACUGAGAGGUAUUUAUAUAAAAGGAUUUCAGCCUAGGAA